AUUGAACGCUGGCGGCAGGCCUAACACAUGCAAGUCGAGCGGAUGAAGGGAGCUUGCUCCUGGAUUCAGCGGCGGACGGGUGAGUAAUGCCUAGGAAUCUGCCUGGUAGUGGGGGAUAACGUCCGGAAACGGGCGCUAAUACCGCAUACGUCCUGAGGGAGAAAGUGGGGGAUCUUCGGACCUCACGCUAUCAGAUGAGCCUAGGUCGGAUUAGCUAGUUGGUGGGGUAAAGGCCUACCAAGGCGACGAUCCGUAACUGGUCUGAGAGGAUGAUCAGUCACACUGGAACUGAGACACGGUCCAGACUCCUACGGGAGGCAGCAGUGGGGAAUAUUGGACAAUGGGCGAAAGCCUGAUCCAGCCAUGCCGCGUGUGUGAAGAAGGUCUUCGGAUUGUAAAGCACUUUAAGUUGGGAGGAAGGGCAGUAAGUUAAUACCUUGCUGUUUUGACGUACCAACAGAAUAAGCACC
rnacentral:rRNA from 1 species